CUUUGAAUCUGUAUCUCUACGGAGAGCAGAAUCUGACAAAAUGGCCUCAACUGACUUGCGUAAAGCGAUUUGGCAUCGCUGAGUGAGAACUUCUACAAGAGAGGGGAACCGAGGCUUGGCAAGGUGAAGUACUUAUCUCACGUCACAUAGCUGGCCUGGCUAAAUGACCUUAUUUGGCGAAUGGGACAAUUGCAAAAUUGACACAGCAGAGGCUCUUGCUGGUGGGAUCUCUUUACCACCAUGUGAACAAGCCUGGCCCCUUCUCAUUGAGGAUGAGCAGCACCACAUGGAAAGAGGCUCCAGCCACAUCCUUGGUCCAGCAUUCCACUUGAGGCCCCAGACGUAGGAGUGUGGCUGUCCCAGACAUCUAGCCUCAACCAAACUAGCCCAGCCCAGAAGAACCACCCAACCAACCCACAGAAUCAUGAACUAGAUUAAAUGUUUGUUAUUUUAA